AUUUGAAAAGGAUAUAACUUAGGCUUAUUGUAAUUGGUUACUAUAUUUAGUUGGCGUUAGUUAUUUCAGUUGAUAAGAACUGUGUUUGUGUGUAGUGUGAUACGUAUUCAGCCUCCUAGUUCUUUGUGGUACGUACUCAGCUUUCUAAUGUCUCAAGGUUAUUAGUAUAUAUAAGAGUAGAGUUUGCUUCUAGUCACUACAAGAAAAAAGGCCUAUGGCCAUGCUUUUUUUUUGCCAUGCUUUUGUGAGGGUGGCAAUUGAAUAUAGAUUCAGCCUUUCAGCCUCGUUUUUUUUGCCACGCUUCAAAAGCGUGGCGAAAAGGGUCAAUGGCCACGCUUUUGUAAGGGUGGCAGUUGAAUAGAGAUACGGCCACGUUUUUUUCUGCCACGCUUCAAAAGCGUGGCCAUAGACAAAAACAGAGACGUUUUGAAAGCGUGGCAAUAGGGUUUCACUACAGUAGCAUUUAUAAAGCGUGGCCAUAUCCUGGUGUUCUUUUGCCACGCUUUUAAAGCGUGGCCAUAUUCUGAUGCUCUUUUGGCACGCUUUAAAAGCGUGGCCAAAAGAUUUAAAAAAAAAACCCUAAUAACCCGCCCCAAAUCCAGUAACCUAAAACUUUGCCAACAGAUUUUCACCCCUCAUCGAGACUCUCUCACUCUCAACUCUUACACCGUCACUCUCAUCGAUUUAUGGCAAUCUCCCCUCGCUGCGCCAUUUUGAGGAUUUGAGGAGAAGAGCUCAGAUCUCCACCCUCGCUGUGCCAUUUUGAGGAUUUGAUGGUGACUCCCUUGGCGCUCACCGUCUGUCACGGAGGGAGUGCCGGAGCUGUCACGGAGGGAGCGCCGGAGCUUCUCCUGAAAGAGAAGGAUUCAGAAGGCGGCGAAGGUGGAAACGAACAAGGACAACAAGGGAAGGCAUCAGAGGUAGAAGAACGAGCUAGCGAAUCGCCUUACGAAACUGAGUCACAGCACGGCAUGAUGAAGAGUUCAGAUAAACCUCUGAAGGGGUCGAAUUUAGGAACCCUAGCUGUUGAAUCACCUAUUGUGAACAAUUGGAGUGAUGUUGGGGAGCCCCGCUACGUCGAAUAUGGAUGUCAAAGCUGAAAGUAAGCUUGUUUCUUGGUCCAUAUUAAUUUAUCAGCCGAGGAUAAACUGAAUUCAACAUGGAGAAAGGCUUUCAUGAAGGCAUAUAAGUCUAUGGACAAAGAGCUCUGAAUUUGGACAGCUUUUGUAGUGGGAGCACGGCUGUCACUAUAGUGAAGAAGUUUCUUCUCGUACCAGGGCUCAAAUUUGUUCAUGGGAUAUAUCAGGGAUUCUCGAGCAGUGAUGGGAUCCAAGGACUUGAAAUCUUUGACUAAUUCUAGUGCUUAUUGUAAGGCAGAGAGUGGUUGGCACAAGGAAGAUGAAAUACUUGAUGACGGUUGGGUUCAGAAAAGUAGAAAGAAAGAGCCAGCUACCUCGCAUCUCGAUGGACUGAAUUGGGAGGUGCUUGUUGUCAAUGAGUCAAAUGUCAAUGCCUUUUGGCUACCUGAUGGUAAGAUUGUUGUAUACACCAGAUUGUUAGAGCAUUUUAAAAGUGAUGCUGAGAUUGCCACUGUAAUUGGUUAUCUAUAAGAGUGGACUUUGACUAGAGAUAAGAGACUAGUCUUUGUUUUCUACCGUGGUAUUGAAGUAAAGUGACACUGACUAUGUAAAUUAGCAUAGAUCUCUCUCUGGCUAGUGGCUAGUUCUUUACCCAGUUUAACUGGUUGUUCUUUAAAUAUCAUAGCAGAAUAUUUUUGGUUAUGUGAUAGGUUGACAACCUGCGAAAGCAUGUUAAGACAAGCGAUGUUUCUAAUGGAAUUGAACUAGUCAUUGUUUCCCCUUGUUAAGGACCAUGCAAACAACAAUUGGGGGUUUUGGUGGUAAAGCAUAUACUGAUGGGAUUACUGCGCCUCCUCUGAUGAAUGAUAAUGUUGGAGAUAGUGGUCGUCCUGCAAUUUCUAGUCUGAAUUGCCCACCAUUUAUAGCAAUAGAGCAGUGUCGAGACAUUUGGUAUGUAAUGAGAGGACAUUUAUUACACAUUGAACCUGCAAUAUACUUUUACCUCCCCUUCUUUAAUUUCAUGUAGUUUUUGUGUAACGCUUCUGUGCUUCAUUCUUGUAACUCAGGGAGUUCAUCCUUGUGAUAAGAGAAGAAGCAUCACUGAGUAUCGGAAUAUGUUUUCAGCUAUUGAUUUUUCACUGUUAGAUAGAAAGUGAUGAGGACAUUUUGUGGAAACCUGACAUUAGAGAGACGAAUGAAGAAGUUGUUGCCAGGGGACUGAAGUUUUUUGAAUGGUGAGUGCUAUUAAGUAAUCAAUGUUCCAUGUCAACAUAUAUGACCAAAAGAAGAAUCUCUAUAUACAAAAUUAGGGAACGCAAAACUACAUUAGAAGCUUCAUAUUACUAUGUUUGUGCAUUAAGCUGAACGUUUUAUAAUUGGUUGGAUCACCAAAUGUUUACCAUUUUGCACUUACUGUAAUAAUUGUCAAUACUCUCAGAUGUAUACUAGUAGUUUAGACCAAAAAAAGUGGAUCUUUAGCUAUAGGUAGACUAGAACUAAAUAUAUGACAUUUUUGCCCU